UACGGGGGGGGCAAGCGUUGUUCGGAAUUACUGGGCGUAAAGGGCUCGUAGGCGGCCAACUAAGUCAGACGUGAAAUCCCUCGGCUUAACCGGGGAACUGCGUCUGAUACUGGAUGGCUUGAGGUUGGGAGAGGGAUGCGGAAUUCCAGGUGUAGCGGUGAAAUGCGUAGAUAUCUGGAGGAACACCGGUGGCGAAGGCGGCAUCCUGGACCAACACUGACGCUGAUGAGCGAAAGCCAGGGGAGCAAACGGG
rnacentral:rRNA from 1 species